CACCGCACGUCGCUCCUAGCGAUUGAGUGGUCCGGUGAAGUGUUUGAAUCGCAAUGACGGGGGUGGUUCGCUGCCCCCAACGUCGCGAGAAGCCCAUUAAACCUUAGCAUUUAGAGGAAGGAGAAGUCGUAACAAGGUUUCCAUAGGUAUUGUUGUGA
rfam:Triticum aestivum genome assembly, contig: Triticum_aestivum_CS42_TGACv1_scaffold_249392_3DL